GCUCAGCUGGGAGAGCGCCUGCUUUGCACGCAGGAGGUCAGCGGUUCGAUCCCGCUAGUCUCCACCA
rnacentral:tRNA from 1 species